CGGAGGUAUCCAGCAAACCCUCCCUACCCUCGCUGAAGAAAGAGACUCUGCUAUUCCACGUUCUCACACUACCCAGAAGAGACUUGCUACAGGCCUCGCACAACGCUAAGGACAGUCGGUGCACUAUCUCCUGUGAUGCUCUCUGAGACGCUAUAAGGAAGGCACUGUAACCAUCCGAGUAGAGAAAAGGAGAGUGCAGCUCGGACAGCAACUUCAUAGAACGAGACAUAAGGAAAGGUUGCCGUGCCAGGCCCUCGGUCUGCAUCCGUGUCACGCUGCGCUCAAAGCCGAGCUCUUCUGCUGUGGCUCUAGAAGGGAAGAAUUUACACAUGCUGUGGCCCAUUCCUGAGCAUCCACGAAGACUGCCUCUAAGAAACGCAGAGCGCCCAAGAGGUCUCCUUCAGUUCCAACAAAAAAGAGAACCGAAACACAUCCCCGGGAGUGGUAAAUGGCUGCCUCAAAGUGAAAUACAGAAUCGGAAACAAAAGUCCAGCCAAACUGUCACACGGUCCAUUCACAGGGAACGGUACUCUUCCCCCAAAACAACCUACUCUGUUGUCUGCAAUAAUCGCAACAGUGCACAUAA